UAACACAAAGCAUAAACAUUUACGUUAAAUAUGUGUCUGUGGUGCCUGUGCGCUGGCUUCUUGACUCUUAGAGUUUUGCUAAAGUCUCUCUAGGGGGGCUCUGACUGGAACACGCCUUUGGGUAGCAUGGGAACAGGCAGGCUUGGUCUGGGAAAGGGAGCAGGCUGUUCAUUUCUGUUGCACAAUCCAAUUAGCUCCGAGUUCCACCGAUAAGAAACAGCACCAGAUCACUACAGAAGCUUUGUGUGAGAAGUCGUGCGUCUAAUAGCUGGCUGGUAAACAAUCGGCAGCAUCUUCAACAGGUUCCGCUUUCACCAGGGAUCUACGACAGCUGGUUAACAACAGAGAUCAUGCUGACUGCUUACCUGCUGGCAAUCUUCUUCAUCUGCGCAGGAAUCACAGCAGAAGCUGUCCGUCCACCAUGCAACGAGGACCUGUUUGACAUCAAUGUUGACAACUGCCUGUUGGAUUUCAACAAAAGCAUGGAGACAAGUGACUAUCAGAACAUGUGCCCGUGGCCUAUGGUUCAAAGCAACUACAACAAAUUGAUGACAUGUGUGGAAGACUGGGCUAAGAAAACUCGGUGUUGGGGUUAUGGAUUUUUGGUACAUGAGAUUUACUUGGAGGUCCACCAGACGUACUUUUCGCUAUGUGGAUACGUUCGUGACCCCCCACUCUUCACUCUCAUCAUGUUAAUAGCACCGUGUAUUAUUGUCACACUUUUUCUGCCUCUUAUGUGUGUUCACAUCGCCCCCAGGGACACAUAAAUACCCAGCGAAGGAAAAUUGGAAUCUUUUUUUAGCCAGUGUUCUGACAGUGCUAACUGUGCUUGCUACCUCUGUUGCAGAGAUUCAGGAAAUUCAUCCUGGAAGAAGACACUUCAAGCUAAUAAACAAUCAUUUUACAUAAAUCAGAAAAUACAUUUUCUAUUCAAUGAAGUAGUGAAAACGCCUGACUACUUAAGUUUGGUUGGAUAAGUAUCUUGGGCUGUUCACAAAGAGUUUCAUGAUCCAAAAGACUGCAACGGAGAGGACAACUGUACAACUGAGACUCUUUUGGACCUAAAUGUAUUCAUCCAAGCAGACAAAUUGCAGGGGAGCUUAUAAACGGGUGUCGUAAAUUGAGCAACAAUGACUGCAAAUCCCCCAAAGGUCACGUUUGGUGGAACAAAGCAAAAAUCUCACCUGUUUUAAAUAUUCCCCUGUCCCCUUCAGGAUCCCUGUGCACCUCUGCACCAUUUCCAGCGCUCUGGCUGUUUUCCGAUCUCUCUCUCUGGAACUCCUCCUCUGAUCACUUGUAUGUCCUCCCUUUUGUUAAAACAACAACACUUCCAGCCUUAAAUUUAAUAUUUCGAGAAGAAUGUCAGAGAACAACAUUUAGUGACUAGUGACUGACAUUAUCUCCAGUCACCAUCAUAGUGUUGGUAUGUGGCUUUCAUAGUGUCAG